rnacentral:rRNA from 1 species
AGCGUAGGCGGACAUUUAAGUCAGGGGUGAAAUCCCGGGGCUCAACCUCGGAAUUGCCUUUGAUACUGGGUGUCUUGAGUAUGAGAGAGGUGUGUGGAACUCCGAGUGUAGAGGUGAAAUUCGUAGAUAUUCGGAAGAACACCAGUGGCGAAGGCGACACACUGGCUCAUUACUGACGCUGAGGCUCGAAAGCGUGGGGAGCAAACAGGAUUAGAUACCCCCGUA